CCUCCUACAGAAGAAGAGCAAUCUCUUUCUAAGUCACAGGUCUCAACACACACUGACAACAUGCUGGUGACUCUCUGUGCUCUCAUCACUGCUCUAACAUGUGUGAGUGGUGUGACGGUGCUGACACAGAAACCUCCUGUUUUACCAGUGAGGAAAGGAGAGACAGCCACCAUGGACUGUAACCUGGGGACUGUUACUAACUAUGUCUAUUGGUACAAACAGAUUCCAGGAGGAGUUCCUCAGUUUGUGCUGUAUUUUUAUCAUAGCUGGGGUUCUCCAACCUAUGGUUCUGGGUUCUCCUCUCCAAAAUUCACAUCCACUCAUCAGUCAACAAAAGAUUAUCGUUUGAUCAUCAAAAAUGUGCAGGAGGGAGACUCUGCAGUCUAUUACUGUAAGACAUGGGACAGCAAUAAUGCUGUAUCACAGUGAUUUACACUGUGACAAAAACCUCCUCACUAUUACUUCUGCUUUUUGAUGCUCUUUUUUUCACAUGCUGACAAAAGACCCAUUCAGCAAACUCAGUGUAAACCCACCACCUUCAAAUAGUUUUUGAAUUAUUUUAAUGUUCAUCAUUGAAAACUCAUCCACUUCAGACAGUCUGCUAAUAAAUACUGAAUUACUUGUUUUGAUUUUUACAUUCAUCACUG